AAUCAGUGACGGAAUAAAUUCUGAACCUGAUUCUCUGAUGAAAAAGAAACGGAUCUGACUGCUGAGAU
ensembl:snoRNA